CACGUAGGCACCAAGCGUUGUCCGGAUUUAUUGGGCGUAAGGAGCUCGUAGGCGGUUCAGUAAGUCAGGUGUGAAAACUUUGGGCUUAACCCAAAGCGUGCAUUUGAUACUGCUGUGACUUGAGUUCGGUAGGGGAGUGGGGAAUUCCUAGUGUAGCGGUGAAAUGCGCAGAUAUUAGGAGGAACACCGGUGGCGAAGGCGGCUCUCUGGGACGGUACUGACGCUGAGACGCGAAAGCGUGGGGAGCGAACAGG
rnacentral:rRNA from 1 species